rnacentral:siRNA from 1 species
CCGACGACUCUUCUGGUGACA